CAUACCAUGCUGAAUAUACCGGUUCUCGUUAGAUCACCGAAGUCAAGCAUCAUUGAGCGCGGUCAGUACUUGGGUGGGUGACCACCUGGGAACACCGCGUGCC
rnacentral:rRNA from 1 species